UGGUCAAGUUAUUAAGGGUGCAGGGCGGAUGCCUUGGCACUAGGAGCCGAUGAAGGACGUGAUAAGCUGCGAUAAGCUUCGGGGAGUUGCACGUAAACUUUGAUCCGAAGAUUUCCGAAUGAGGAAACUCACUUAGAGUAAUGUCUAAGUAUCAUUAAGUGAAUACAUAGCUUAAUGAGGGGAACUCAGGGAACUGAAACAUCUAAGUACCUGAAGGAAGAGAAAGAAAUUCGAUUCCGUAAGUAGCGGCGAGCGAACGCGGAUUAGCCCAAACCAAUAAAGUUUUCUUUAUUGGGGUUGUGGACAUAUCAUAACGAAGAGGUAUCGUAAUUGAAGAGGUUUGGAAAGACCCACCACAGAAGGUAAUAGUCCUGUAUGUUAAACGAGAAGACUUUAGAUAUGAUCCAGAGUACCACGGGACACGUGAAACCCUGUGGGAAGCAGGAGGGACCACCCUCCAAGGCUAAAUACUACCUAGUGACCGAUAGCGUAUAGUACCGUGAGGGAAAGGUGAAAAGAACCCCGGGAGGGGAGUGAAAUAGAACCUGAAACCCUGCACUUACAAGCUGUGGAAGCACAUUUCUUGUGUGACCGCGUACUUUUUGUAGAACGGGCCAACGAG
rnacentral:rRNA from 1 species